rnacentral:rRNA from 1 species
UACGGAGGGUGCAAGCGUUAUCCGGAUUCACUGGGUUUAAAGGGUGCGUAGGUGGGUCUGUAAGUCCGUGGUGAAAUCUCCAAGCUUAACUUGGAAACUGCCAUGGAUACUAUAGGUCUUGAAUACCGUGGAGGUGAGCGGAAUAUGUCAUGUAGCGGUGAAAUGCUUGGAUAUGACAUAGAACACCAAUUGCGAAGGCAGCUCACUACACAAAUAUUGACACUGAGGCACGAAAGUGUGGGGAUCAAACAGG